rnacentral:misc_RNA from 1 species
CAAUCGGAAGAUGACUCACCAAGUGGAGCUGAUAUUGAGUUGGCUGCUUCUAGACUUCUCUCACCCUUGAGAAGAACAAGUUCUUCCAAUGUGGUUCAUAGUGGCACGGAAAAUGGUUUUCUUUCAGAAGUUAAUGGAGAACCAUCAAAUAGUUGCAAUGGUCAAUUUGAAUCAAUGGACCAGUCAAUGGAUAACAUAGAGUCAGAGCCAGAGGACACAUCCAGCCAGGACUUGUUGUUCCAGCUCUUUUUGACAGAUGACCGGUAUUCAAGCCGCAAGCCAAUUUUUAAGGACUCGGUCAUAAAACCUGGAGCAAAUCGUAUAAAAAUUUUCCUGGGUUGGACUGAAAAGGAACAUAAAUUAUAUGAUCCCAGCUAUCUAAAGGAUCUCCCAGUGGUUUAUCACAAAACUGGUUUUAGUGCGAAGAAAACCCGGCAGGAAGCGGUCUCUCUAUUUUCAUGCC